GUCGAGCGGUAAGGCCCUUCGGGGUACACGAGCGGCGAACGGGUGAGUAACACGUGGGUGAUCUGCCCUGUACUUCGGGAUAAGCCUGGGAAACUGGGUCUAAUACCGGAUAUGACCUUACAUCGCAUGGUGUUUGGUGGAAAGAUUUAUCGGUACAGGAUGGGCCCGCGGCCUAUCAGCUUGUUGGUGGGGUAAUGGCCUACCAAGGCGACGACGGGUAGCCGGCCUGAGAGGGCGACCGGCCACACUGGGACUGAGACACGGCCCAGACUCCUACGGGAGGCAGCAGUGGGGAAUAUUGCACAAUGGGCGAAAGCCUGAUGCAGCGACGCCGCGUGAGGGAUGACGGCCUUCGGGUUGUAAACCUCUUUCGACAGGGACGAAGCGCAAGUGACGGUACCUGUAGAAGAAGCACCGGCCAACUACGUGCCAGCAGCCGCGGUAAUACGUAGGGUGCGAGCGUUGUCCGGAAUUACUGGGCGUAAAGAGCUUGUAGGCGGUUUGUCGCGUCGUCCGUGAAAACUUGGGGCUCAACCCCAAGCUUGCGGGCGAUACGGGCAGACUUGAGUACUGCAGGGGAGACUGGAAUUCCUGGUGUAGCGGUGAAAUGCGCAGAUAUCAGGAGGAACACCGGUGGCGAAGGCGGGUCUCUGGGCAGUAACUGACGCUGAGAAGCGAAAGCGUGGGUAGCGAACAGGAUUAGAUACCCUGGUAGUCCACGCCGUAAACGGUGGGCGCUAGGUGUGGGUUUCCUUCCACGGGAUCCGUGCCGUAGCUAACGCAUUAAGCGCCCCGCCUGGGGAGUACGGCCGCAAG
rnacentral:rRNA from 1 species